CCUUUCCUUAAAAUCUAAAGAUGGUAGAAAUGCAGCUGAUUCAGCAUAUUGGAGGAGGAGCUGGAGCAACAUAUAGCAGCACAACUGGGCAGAGGCCUCUGAGAUUGGGAAAACCCGCUGGAUGAUGAGCCUUUUGUUUUAGAUUGAGGUAAUUCGAUCUAAAGGAUGCACCAUGAGGAGGCGGCAUGCCGUGUCAUAUUCAUCUGUUUGCCGAAUGGAGAGUAGUGAGGGAUGUUUCCGAAGCUGUUGUCAGAAGAAAGGGACAAGUCAUGAAGUUUCCUACAAGUACAAGUUACAACAAGGCAAAAAGUGACUAUACUAUUCAGAAGCAGUUUUUCCAGUACUGCAGAUUUCCAGGAGUUGCUGUUGAUGGGACACAUGUUUACAUCAGGAGCCCUGGUGGGGCAAGAGCCAGGUACUACUUCAAUAGGAAGAACAGGUACUCCAUCGAUGUUCAGGUUGUCUGUGAUUAUGCUGGGAAAAUAACUAGUAUCGUUGCAAGGUGGCCUGGACUGGUAGCAGCCACGAUGCCAGGAUCUUUUCUGAGUGUGCACUGAAUUGACAGCUUCAUGCUAGGGCAUAUGAAUAACAGUUGAUUCUUGGAGAUAGACUAUAGGGUAUCCAUGCCUUCCCUGCCUCAUCAAAAGCCAUUUCUUCAUUCAGAGGGUUGACCAAAGGAGGUCACUGACGGGAGGCUAUCUCAUCAAUUCAGUUCUCCAUUAACAUAAGAAAAAGAGGAUCAUGGGGGAUUAACAGGCACAGAUUGGGGAGGUUUUCUAUAUAGAGGGAGCAAGUAGCUACAAGUAGUACAGUGGGGCUUUAACACUUCCCACACAAAAAAGGGAGAUGUGAGAUUGAGCGCAUAUUUAUUAAAUGCAAGGAUGAGGACGUUCCAUGCCUCAUCAAUCUAAGAGAGAAGGUCGACACUUCUUAAUUAUUUUUAUGCUUUCCUGUUGCCCAUAUUGGGGAAAUUCACGUUGUGCAAAUAUAGCAUUGGUUUGGACAAGUAUAGCCUAAAACAGCUUACACUGGAGCUUACUAACAAGCAUUUAUUGCUUUCUUAGCUGUCGAGUAAAAUAACCACCACUAUCUAUCUAUUUAGUGAGCUAUACAUUAUUUAAUUAAGGAUUCCACAAAAAAUUUCAAUGUAUACAGUAAUAAGUUAUAAAAUACAGAUUUAACUCGAUUGCAACUGGAAUUACCUCAAAAUGUAUUUCAAAAUACGGCCCCUCCUUGGUGUUCCCACAAUACUUCGUAGUUAUGCAGCAUUACAUCAAGAACCUGGGUGUUGAACUGUUGAUUAUUUAUGAAUAUUUUUUAUGUUAUGUUUAGUUGAUAAGUAUUUGUUGUCACUCUGACGGUAUUUGUAAUUAAGUGUUCUCUAUAGAUUAAAUGCACCCGAUUUAACUAUAGGUAGCAGUGUAUACAAUGCUACUAAGUUGAGGGGUGGGUCAAUAUAAAUUAUUUGGGUGUCAGCUAGGGGAGAGUAUUCGAACAAAUAUUAUUUACUGUACUAAGCGAAGUCGGAAUUAAAAAACUUUUAUGUGCAAAUUUGAAUUUUCGUCACCAAUUUUGUUGUAUUUCUGAUUUUCUUUCUGCUAAUAGCGCUACAGUGAGACUUUUAAUUGGCCUUCCAGAGCCUCUCUUAACCUCUAGUGGGCUAUAUUUCAUAUAAGCAUGCUACAAAAUUUACAAAUGUGAACUGCAUUGUUUGAACAAACGGUAGAUUACUAUUGUGUUGUAUGCUCAAUUAUUUAUGUAAAACAUGAAAAUACAAAUACAAUAUUCUUGCUUUCAUAUAUUUACAAAGA